rnacentral:rRNA from 1 species
UGACGCUGAGGCACGAAAGUGUGGGUAUCAAACAGGAUUAGAUACCCUGGUAGUCCAC